rnacentral:lncRNA from 1 species
UGGGACUCCUGUGCAUCGCAGCCCAGCUAGUUGCUGGAGGGCACCAUGGUGUUAUUCGGGGACGAUGUGACCCACGUUUACUAAUGCGUUUCGGUGGGUACUCAAUCCCCGGACCCUGCAGCGGGAACAAUGGCUGAUGGCUCGGGCAAUGCGACAAGGAUACUUCGCCGGACAUUACUCAAGAGUCUGAAAAGCGCGCUAGCUACUGCUGAAUGUGCUGAAUAAACUGUUCUUUUAGUGCUGGACACGAA